rnacentral:lncRNA from 1 species
CAGGAGGAGUGCCCUACGUUCUGUUAAUGCUUCUGUGCAUGCAUAGCGUGUUGAGAACGCGUAUGGAUGUUAAAAAUGAGCAUAUUGUCCAGGCCCCAGCG